rnacentral:lncRNA from 1 species
UUGGAUACAUGAUUACGUGAUAAAUGCUUAUUAAAGAUACAAUGAUGAUUAUGUUUAGAAUGAUUAUGAUCAAGAUUGAUUAGGAUGUUAAUUUUAUGAUUCUUAAUUGCAUUGAUUAACGUUAUUCUGUUAUGAAAUCUCACCCCUUCUGUUUGAAUGUUACCUCGACCGUGGGUAACGUGCAGGUGAUCGAGCUUAGUGUGCUGUCUCCGUCGUGAGUGGCCUUGCCUUCACUGUGUCGUCUAGGUCGCUCUGAUACGUAACGGGAUGGGGUUUAAUGUUAUACAUGCUUCAUUCUCUUACGUGAAUAAUAAGUUAUUUUUAUAAGUUAUGGAUUAUGAACUAUUUUGAUGGGGCCUACGUGCCAAACUGAUUUAUGACUUUCGAAUUAAUAUUCCGCUGCUAUGUUAAAGAUAUUUGGUGAAGGUUAAAUUAUGAUUUAACUGUUUUUGGAUUAUGUUUCUAUGUGAUAUCCCGUUUACGGUUUUUACUCUGAUAAUUGUUUAAGAAAUUUGUAUAUUGGGAAAACGGGGUGUUACAAUUGGUAUCAGAGCAGGUCGGUCCGUCCGGUCAAUUAGAGAGUUGUGUCGAGUCUUAGUAAUAUUAUAUUACUAUCUUAUACUGUUGUUGCUACUUUUGUAGAAUAUCAGAAUGGCUGGAAGGAACGAUGCUGCGUUAGCUGCUGCUCUACAAGCUGUUGCCCAAGCUGUGGGACAACAACCUAACGUGAAUGCUGGUGCAAAUGCUGAAGCUAGAAUGUUGGAGACGUUCAUGAAGAAGAACCCUCCGAUUUUCAAAGGACGCUAUGACCCUGAUGGAGCCCAGACGUGGCUUAAGGAGAUUGAGAGGAUUUUCCGGGUUAUGCAGUGCACGGAGGAUCAGAAAGUGCGGUUUGGUACUCAUCAGCUGGCCGAUGAAGCUGAUGACUAGUGGGUUGCUCUUCUGCCUACUCUUGGGCAGGAGGGAGCUGUUGUGACUUGGGUUGUUUUCAGGAGGGAGUUCCUGAGAAGAUACUUUCCGGAAGAUGUUCGCGGAAAGAAGGAGAUCGAAUUCCUUGAGCUGAAGCAAGGAAAUAUGUCUGUGACAGAGUAUGCUGCCAAGUUCGUGGAACUGUCAAAGUUCUAUCCGCACUAUACUGCUGAGAGUGCUGAGUUCUCGAGAUGUAUCAAGUUCGAGAAUGGUCUGAGGCCCGACAUUAAGAGGGCGAUUGGGUAUCAACAGCUGAGAGUUUUUCCAGAUUUGGUUAACAGCUGCAGGAUCUAUGAGAAGGAUACCAAGGCUCACUACAAGGUAGUGAAUGAGAGGAAGGGCAAGGGACAGCAGAGUCGUCCUAAGCCGUACAGUGCCCCCCUGACAAAGGGAAACAGAAGAUGGUCGAUGUUAGGCGGCCUAAGAAGAAGGAUGCUGCAGAGAUUGUGUGCUUCAACUGUGGCGAGAAAGGCCACAAGAGCAACGUCUGUCCUGAGGAAAUCAAGAAGUGUGUCCGGUGUGGUAAGAAGGGUCAUGUGGUGGCUGAUUGCAAUCGUACAGACACUGUGUGCUUUAAUUGCAAUGCAGAGGGUCACAUUAGUUCUCAGUGUACUCAGCCUAAGAGGGCGCCGACUACUGGUAGGGUCUUUGCUUUGACUGGGACUCAGACAGAGAAUGAGGAUCGUUUGAUCAGAGGUACUUGCUAUAUUAAUAAUACUCCUUUAGUUGCUAUUAUUGAUACUGGUGCUACGCAUUGCUUUAUUGCUUUCGAUUGUGUUUCUGCUUUGGGUCUUGAGUUGUCUGAUAUGAAUGGAGAGAUGAUUGUCGAAACUCCAGCUAAGGGUUCGGUGACUACUUCUCUCGUAUGUUUGAAAUGUCCUUUGUCUAUGUUUGGUCGUGAUUUUGAAAUGGAUUUAGUUUGUCUACCUUUGAGUGGUAUGGAUGUGAUUUUGGGUAUGAACUGGUUGGAGUACAAUCACGUUCUUAUUAAUUGUUUUAGCAAGUCAGUACAUUUCUCUUCCGUCGAAGAGGAAAGUGGUGCAGAGUUUUUGUCUACCAAACAGCUGAAGCAACUGGAACGCGAUGGUAUCUUGAUGUUUUCCUUGAUGGCUUCUUUAUCUGUUGAGAAUCAAGCAGUGAUUGAUAGGCUACCAAUGGUGUGUGAAUUUCCUGAAGUUUUUCCAGAUGAGAUUCCUGAUGUGCCUCCAGAGAGAGAAGUCGAGUUUUCUAUUGAUCUUGUUCCUGGAACGAAACCGGUCUCGAUGGCACCUUAUCGUAUGUCUGCUUCAGAAUUAUCUGAGUUGAAGAAACAGUUGGAGGAUUUGCUUGAAAAGAAGUUUGUUAGACCAAGUGUUUCACCUUGGGGAGCGCCGGUUUUGCUAGUAAAGAAGAAAGAUGGUACUAUGCGGUUGUGUAUUGAUUAUCGGCCGUUGAACAAAGUAACUAUCAAGAAUAGGUAUCCACUUCCGAGAAUUGAUGAUUUGAUGGAUCAGUUAGUGGGUGCACGAGUUUUCAGCAAGAUUGAUUUGAGAUCGGGUUAUCACCAGAUUAAAGUAAAAGAUGAGGAUAUGCAGAAGACAGCUUUCAGAACGCGUUAUGGUCACUAUGAAUACAAAGUUAUGCCUUUCGGUGUGACCAAUGCACCUGGAGUGUUUAUGGAGUAUAUGAAUCGCAUCUUCCAUGCAUUUUUGGAUCGGUUCGUGGUUGUGUUCAUCGACGAUAUUUUGAUUUACUCCAAGACUGAAGAAGAACAUGCGGAACAUCUGAAGAUUGUCUUACAGGUGUUGAAAGAGAAGAAACUUUAUGCUAAAUUGUCUAAGUGUGAAUUCUGGUUGAAUGAAGUGAGUUUCCUUGGCCAUGUUAUUUCCGGAGAUGGUAUUGCUGUGGAUCCGUCUAAAGUCGAAGCUGUAUCGCAAUGGGAUACUCCUAAGUCCGUUACUGAGAUUAGAAGCUUUUUGGGUUUAGCCGGUUACUACAGAAGAUUUAUUGAAGGGUUUUCUAAGUUAGCUCUUCCGCUUACACAGUUGACUUGUAGAGGUAAGACCUUUGUGUGGGGCGUUCAUUGUGAGAGGAGUUUCGCUGAAUUGAAGAAACGUUUGACGACUGCUCCAGUUUUGAUUUUGCCGAAGCCCGAAGAACCUUUUGUGGUAUAUGGUGAUGCGUCCAAGUUGGGUUUAGGAGGUGUGCUUAUGCAAGAAGGUAAAGUGGUAGCUUAUGCUUCAAGACAGUUGAGAGUUCAUGAGAAGAAUUAUCCUACGCAUGAUCUCGAGUUGGCGGCUGUAGUCUUUGUGUUGAAAAUAUGGAGACAUUAUUUGUAUGGUUCGAGGUUUGAGGUGUUUAGUGAUCACAAGAGUUUGAAGUAUUUGUUCGAUCAGAAGGAAUUGAAUAUGAGGCAGCGAAGAUGGCUAGAGUUGCUAAAGGAUUAUGACUUUGGUUUGAAUUAACAUCCGGGUAAAGCUAAUGUUAUUGCAGAUGCCUUGAGUAGGAAGACAUUGCAUAUGUCCGCCAUGAUGGUCAGAGAGUUUGAGUUACUUGAACAGUUCCGAGAUAUGAGUUUGGUUUGUGAAUGGUCACCUCAGAGUGUGAAACUGGGUAUGCUGAAGAUGGAUAGUGAAUUUCUGAAAAGCAUCAAAGAAGCACAGAGGGAUGAUGUGAAGUUUGUGGAUUUGUUGGUUGCUAGAGAUCAGGCUGAAGACAGUGAUUUUAAAAUCGAUGAUCAAGGCGUGUUGAGAUUCCGAGGGAGAAUUUGUAUUCCAGACGACGAAGAGAUUAAGAAGAUGAUUCUUGAAGAGAGUCAUAGAAGUAGCUUGAGUAUUCACCCGGGAGCUACGAAGAUGUAUCAUGAUCUAAAGAAGAUUUUCUGGUGGUCUGGUUUGAAACGAGAUGUGGCACAGUUUGUGUAUUCCUGCUUAGUUUGUCAGAAGUCAAAGGUCGAGCAUCAGAAACCCGCUGGGAUGAUGGUACCUUUGGAUGUGUCGGAAUGGAAAUGGGAUAGUAUAUCGAUGGAUUUUGUGACGAGUUUGCCGAAUACUCCGAGAGGGAGCGAUGCAAUUUGGGUUAUAGUUGAUAGAUUGACAAAGUCAGCUCAUUUCCUACCUAUUAAUAUUAGUUUCCCUGUUGCCCAGUUGGCAGAGAUUUACAUCAGAGAGAUUGUGAAGCUGCAUGGUGUUCCUUCGAGCAUUGUAUCAGAUAGAGAUCCAAGAUUUACUUCUAGAUUUUGGAAAAGUUUGCAAGAGGCUUUGGGUUCGAAGUUGAGAUUGAGUUCGGCGUAUCAUCCACAGACGGAUGGUCAGUCGGAGAGGACAAUUCAGUCGCUAGAGGAUUUGUUGAGAAUUUGUGUUCUUGAGCAAGGAUGAACUUGGGAUAGUCAUCUUCCGUUGAUCGAGUUCACUUAUAAUAAUAGCUAUCAUUCUAGUAUUGGAAUGGCACCGUUCGAGGCUCUGUAUGGUCGGAGAUGCAGAACUCCGUUGUGUUGGUUUGAGUCAGGUGAAAGAGUGGUCUUAGGACCAGAGAUUGUUCAGCAAACUACUGAGAAAGUUCAGAUGAUCCAAGAGAAAAUGAAAGCGUCGCAGAGUCGACAAAAGAGUUAUCAUGAUAAGCGUAGAAAAGAUCUUGAAUUUCAGGAAGGAGACCACGUGUUUUUGAGAGUCACUCCUGUGACUGGUGUAGGACGUGCUUUGAAGUCGAAAAAGUUGACCCCGAAGUUCAUUGGUCCAUAUCAGAUUUUGGAAAGAGUUGGGACGGUGGCUUACCGAGUGGGUUUACCGCCGCAUCUUUCGAAUUUGCACAAUGUUUUCCAUGUGUCGCAACUUCGAAAGUAUGUUCCGGAUCCAUCUCAUGUAAUUCAGAGCGACGAUGUGCAAGUUAGAGACAACCUUACGGUAGAAACUUUACCGUUGAGGAUUGAUGAUCGUAAAGUGAAGACGUUGAGGGGCAAAGAGAUACCUCUCGUGAGAGUCGUUUGGUCGGGAGCGACUGGCGAAAGCUUGACGUGGGAGCUUGAGAGUAAGAUGCUGGAGUCGUAUCCAGAGUUGUUUACUUAAGGUAAAUUAUUGAGGACGAAAAUCUUUUAAGUGGGGGAGAGUUGUAACGCCCACUUUCGUUUAAUCGUUAUUUAAUCGAGUUUAGGCAAUUAUAUUAUAAUUAUAUAAUAUGUGCAUGACUUUGAUAUGUUUUGAUGAUUUUGAUGAUUUGAUUGAUGACGUGAUAAGUUAUGAGUUUUGGAGGAUAUGAUAAGAUUAGAGGAUUUAUUUUAUUGUUAAAUAAAAUAAAGAUUUGAAAAAUAUUUAGUUGAGGGCUGUUUUGAUAUUUUAGAUAGUUUUGGGGGAGAAAGUGAAAUAAGAUAAGUUAUUAAGGAGAGAUAUAAAAAGGCUAGACCUAGUUUUAGGAAAAACUGAUUGUACGUGAAAACUUUUGGAAAAAGGGAGAAAAGCUUAGAGAGGAGCAAGAGACCAAGAGGGCUGCGAUUUUUCUUCAUACAAGGUAAGGGUGGGACUAAUAACUCAGUAACAAUAAUCUCUGUAAUUCUGAUGAUUAGUUGACAAAGUUAGGAUUGAAUUAGAAAAGUUUUGGAAUUAGGUCAAAACCCUAAAAUUGGAGAAUAAACGGUAAAACUUGUUUAGAUUGGUGAAAGAACCGUCCUUUAAACUUAGAAUAUGUUUAGGAUGGAUUAUGGAAUCAAAAUUAGGCUUUGAACCAUGUUGUUUGUUGAAUUUUUGAAAAAAACCCUAGUCUGCCCGUGCUCCUGUUCAUCGCUCGCCACAGCGAGUGAUGAUCCUCGCCUCGCGAGUGAUGAUCUUCAUCGCUCGCCUCGCGAGCCCUUCCCUUCGCCUCGCGAGCGUUUCUGGUAUCGCUCGCCAUGGCGAGCAACCCUUUCUCGCCUCGCGAGCUUAGGCAGAGUGCAUGUCAUAUUUUGUGUUUCGACCCUUUUAGUUGAAUCUUGUAUGCCUUUGAGUGCCUGAACAUACCUAGUAUUGAUUAGGAAUGAAUGUAGGAUCAGAGGGGACCCAUAACAACCUUAGUUUGGAAGUUGAGUGGUACUCGCCAUGGCGAGUAAGGACUCUCGCCUCGCGGGUACAAUCAGAAUGAACUUGUUUGUGUUUUGUGCGAUCUGUGUCGCACUUGUUGAUCAAGAGUGAACCCUAACUUAUAAUGAGACCUAUAAAUGUCAUUUAAUGCAGACUGUAGAGUUGUUUAAGUCAUAUUAAUAUUAAUUGAAUAUGAACUAUUGAAUUGUAUAUUCAUGCAAGAUAAGAAGAUGUGAUAAUGAUACAAAUUAUGUGCUUUUGAUAUAAUGAUAUCAUCUUGUUAUGUGACCUGUUUAUGCUGCUUCCGUUAUUUAACUAAGUGCAUAAGUAUAUGAUAAAGUUUAGCUCCAAAUUAUUGGAUGCAUGUUGAUAAGUUGAUUACGAUGUUUUGUUCAUAUGUGUCCAUGCAUAGCAUCUCAUUGAGCUUAGUCCUCACCACGAAUAUUAGGAGCUUUGUCCUCCGCACGUUUUAUAGGAGCUUUGUCCUCCGCACGAUUAAAGUAUAUUAAUACUUAUGAUGACGAUUGGUACCACAUGCAUAUAAGGAGUCUAAGAGCAUUGUCACAUUGUCAUGAUUAAGAUGCCUUGUUGAUAAUGAUUGGAUAUGUGAUUACGUGAUAUGUGUUUAUUGAUUUAUGUCUUGUUACUCCUAAUUAUUGGAUACAUGAUUACGUGAUAAAUGCUUAUUAAAGAUACAAUGAUGAUUAUGUUUAGAAUGAUUAUGAUCAAGAUUGAUUAGGAUGUUAAUUUUAUGAUUCUUAAUUGCAUUGAUUAACGUUAUUCUGUUAUGAAAUCUCACCCCUUCUGUUUGAAUGUUACCUCGACCGUGGGUAACGUGCAGGUGAUCGAGCUUAGUGUGCUGUCUCCGUCGUGAGUGGCCUUGCCUUCACUGUGUCGUCUAGGUCGCUCUGAUACGUAACGGGAUGGGG